CAAACUAUUUUGCAACGCGAUCAUGACAGAUGAUGUUUUCUCCAAAUAAAACAAUGAGCUGCAUUGUUUUCUCUAAUGACACAUUAGGUACCUCGGAUUUUAUUGUCUGGUUGAGUUACAGACAUGUUGGGGCAAUGGACAGAAAACAGCUCAGAAUGCUGAAAAUACUAUCUGAUCAUCAGCGUUCUUUUAUUAGGAGCAGUUAUUACUGACGAUGUGAUUUCUAGUUCUCUCUCUAAAAGUUGGGUUAUCCGAGUACUGGAUUGAUUUAACCUGACAUUUGCAGAAUCAGGUAAACACCAGAAGAAAUGUGAUGCUUUAUUCAAAGCAUGAGUAAAGUUUAUAUGUAAAGGGUAUUUGUUAACAGAGUCGGAUCAGAUGGAAGUCAAGCUUGACGUCAGCCCAGCUAUUUCUGGCUUUUCGGUGGUCUACUUAAGUGAUCAAGUGGACUGAACCAAACAUAGAACAUAACUCGGUUUCUAUUUUACCUGACAAAACUUUAACUGAUAAAAACAAAAGCCCUGCAGUUCAUAAGGGAUCUUACAUGUUAAGUUUACCGAUUUAAAUUUGCACAAGGCAUCAGCUUUAAAAAUCUCUGUAAAUGAUAAGCCGUCUGCAGAGAUUUAAGAAGUAGGACGACUGUUCAAACAUGAGAAGUUAGUGCACUUCAUCUAAAAGUAUACUUAACAACUGUUAUAAGUUUAAACAUCAUGAACAUUAUCUCAAAUCUGCACAUUGGAAAUGGUGCAAUUCACAAACCAAUGACCAAUGUUUUUGAUAAAAUCUCCAAAGCAGAUGACGAUAAACUAACGGGACAAGACGAACGCAACAAGAACACAUUUUGGCGAUGCUUUCUAGUUGAUGUGAAAGCUGAAAUUUGGAUUUUUGAAAACCAUGACAUCCAAAUAAUCUGUGUAAAAAAACUAAUACAAGACAAUAAUGUAUUUAAAACACUGUGGCUUGCUUUUAAUUUGGCGUAAUUGACUGAAUCAUUAAGCUGUUUGGUCAACAAUCACAGUCUGUUGACGACAGGUAGAAAGGUAAGCUUUCUGGGCAGAAUCACCCAAAAACUCUACUUGGUUACAUCAAACAGCUGAUUUUUAGAUAUUCAUUGUUUUUCCUUUCCGUAAAACUGCUGUAAAAUGUGGAUAAGAGGCUGUAAUUCUGCAUUAUUGAGCACAAUUUUCUCGCCGUGAAGCAGGAGGAGGUUUUGUGCAGAGUGUUUACUCGAUUCCUGCAACUGAAGUCAGAAUGACCACACAGCCCACCUCUAGAGAGAAACACUGGUUAAAAGUUCGCCUGUGGGGUCACACACACUCCCUCCUGGUGCCUCCCACAAGACCCGCCAUUCAGAGAGCGACACCACAGGAAACACACACUCCAGUCCGGAGGCGAAUCUUCCCACAUAAAGGUCAACACAAUCUACAUCUGGCUCCUCUGCCGACACGCAGCACCACUGAUGAUCGCCGUUGUUUGGGGGGGGGGGAAAUGUGGGGGCGCUAAGCUGCACUAGCAGAAGUUCUGGAUGCAUAUAGGUGUGGGAGAUAUGAGGUAUAUGAUCCUGCGGUGUCCAACCAUCUGGUGAUGGGAUGUGAGACAAUCUGUCCAUUUGGAGAGGCGACAGAGAAGGCGAUAAGCAAAGAAAUCUCACAUACAGAGGAUCUGGAAUCGUGUCAAGAAAACACAACCCUAUGCACGUACACACAAACAGGUUUUAGAUUACUUAUACCAACUGCACCGUCUCUAUGGUAACUAGCAGCUGUCAUGGCAACCAAGUACAAACGACGUUAGAAAAAAACAAACCUUGAACUCUGAUUUUCAGUUUUGAUUUGGAUAACUUGAACAGAAAACUCAGACUCUUUUUUUCUUUUUUCUCCAGACACACUGAAGUAUUUUCUUUCACUUCCUGACGUUAAAGCGGUUUAAUGGAAGAUGCAGGUAACUGAGGACACGGCAGACAGCUGAAGACUUCUUCUCCGAUACCGGGAUGCAGUCGUCUGGAAAACAUUAGGGGAACGGCUCCUCCAGGGCCACAAACUAUCUGCACUUCACCGUGAAAGCAUCUUUCCGAAAUGAAAUCCAUUUACUAAAUCUGGGCAGAAAGAGAGGCAGCAGCGCCAUCGUGUGGAUUACUACGCAAAGCGCAUGCACCCUGCUGCACUGCAGGAUCAUAUAUAUGCAAGAGAAAAGAUAUCUGUAGAUUAAUCUAUGUUCAGUUCUAUAUGCUAUUCUAAUAUAUUUAGGAUUUAUUCAGAGGAAGUUUGAGAUUUUACAGGCUUACAUUAAAAGAUGGAUGGAUUUACUUUG